UACAGAGGUCCCGAGCGUUGUUCGGAUUCACUGGGCGUAAAGGGCGCGUAGGCGGUUAGGUAAGUCCGAUGUGAAAUCUCCAGGCUCAACCUGGAAAUGGCAUUGGAUACUAUUUAGCUUGAGGAGUGGAGGGGGGACUGGAAUUCUCGGUGUAGCAGUGAAAUGCGUGGAUAUCGAGAGGAACACCAGUGGCGAAGGCGAGUCCCUGGACACUUCCUGACACUGAGGCACGAAAGCUAGGGGAGCAAACAGG
rnacentral:rRNA from 1 species